rnacentral:tRNA from 1 species
GGCCACGUGGCGAAGUUGGUUAACGCGGCGGUCUGCAAAACCGCUACUCGUCGGUUCAAGUCCGACCGUGGCCU